GAUGAACGCUGGCGGCGUGCCUAAUACAUGCAAGUCGAGCGAACAGACGAGGAGCUUGCUCCUCUGACGUUAGCGGCGGACGGGUGAGUAACACGUGGAUAACCUACCUAUAAGACUGGGAUAACUUCGGGAAACCGGAGCUAAUACCGUAUAAUAUAUUGAACCGCAUGGUUCAAUAGUGAAAGACGGUUUUGCUGUCACUUAUAGAUGGAUCCGCGCCGCAUUAGCUAGUUGGUAAGGUAACGGCUUACCAAGGCAACGAUGCGUAGCCGAGCUGAGAGGCUGAUCGGCCACACUAGAACUGAGACACGGUCCAGACUCCUACGGGAGGCAGCAGUAGGGAAUCUUCCGCAAUGGGCGAAAGCCUGACGGAGCAACGCCGCGUGAGUGAUGAAGGUCUUCGGAUCGUAAAACUCUGUUAUUAGGGAAGAACAAAUGUGUAAGUAACUAUGCACGUCUUGACGGUACCUAAUCAGAAAGCCACGGCUAACUACGUG
rnacentral:rRNA from 1 species